rnacentral:tRNA from 9 species
GCCCGGAUAGCUCAGUCGGUAGAGCAGGGGAUUGAAAAUCCCCGUGUCCUUGGUUCGAUUCCGAGUUCGGGCACCA